rnacentral:lncRNA from 1 species
UCCAAUCUUGGUGACUUAGUAACAAAUGUUAAAAGCUUAAUCAAACUCAAAGACACAUGUCAAAAUUGCUUUAUGACUAAAUCUCUCUUAUAAAUAGAUAUUUUACCAUCUAGAAAACACUUAAAAAAAACACAAGUGAAAACAUUCACUUAUUCGUCUUUUUCAUAUCAGUUUUUCAAAUGUUUUACUGAUUUAUAUUAUCGUUAUCAUCAAAUUUUGUUUCGUAAUUUCAAUUUGAAUUCUCGUGUCCCAACAAUAUUGUCUGCCGGCUCUCCGCAAAAAAAUGUCACUCGGGACUCGGGUCAAAAAGUGUCUAGGAGAUAAUUGAACCGCGGUGUGGGUGUUCAGUGAUUUAUUCAACUACGCUGUUAUUUAUUCAUGCGUAUAGCUUACAAAUCA